rnacentral:rRNA from 1 species
GAUAAACGCUGGCGGCGUGCCUAACACAUGCAAGUCGAACGAUCCCGCAAGGGAGAGUGGCGGAAGGGUGAGUAACACGUGGGAAUCUACCUCCUCGCAGGGAACAACCUCUCGAAAGAGAGGCUAAUACCCAAAAGGGUCAGAAAUGAUCAGAGUCGAAAGGCGUGAGGAGAGGAGCCCGCGGCCCAUCAGCUAGUUGGUGAGGUAAUGGCUUACCAAGGCUACGACGGGUAGGGGAUCUGAGAGGAUGUCCCCCACACUGGAACUGAAACACAGUCCAGACGCCUACGGGUGGCAGCAGUGAGGAAUAUUGGACAAUGGGCGAAAGCCCGAUCCAGCAACGCCGCGUGGAGGAUGAAGGCCUUCGGGUCGUAAACUUCUUUAGAGGGAGACGAGAAAGGACGGUAUCCCUAGAAUAAGCGACGGCAAACUACGUGCCAGCAGCCGCGGU